rnacentral:misc_RNA from 1 species
UUUCCGUAGGUGAACCUGCGGAAGGAUCAUUAACGAGUUAGGGUCUUCUAGGCCCGACCUCCCAACCCUAUGUUUAUUGAACCUCUGUUGCUUCGGCGGACCCGCCUCACGGCCGCCGGAGGACCGCUGCAAGGCGUCCUCUGGCCAGCGUCCGCCGAUGGCCAACCACUUAAACUCUGAAUGAAUCGUGUCAUAUGUCUAAGUCUAUGAUUAAAUUAAAGCAAAACUUUCAACAACGGAUCUCUUGGUUCUG